CCCUGCGCUCUGCGCUGGCUUCUCCACUUAUUGUCUGCCACUUAGACUGGCCCACGAGGGUAUCGAUGCUCAAAAGACCCCACAUCUCCCUCCACUAUGAAAAUUAAAUGAAGUGUGUGUCUCAGGCAGGGAAAAGGCACCGGCAUUGGCCUGCCUGGGGAUCUUGUUUUUCUUUUCUCCUUCCUCCCCCCCAGUGCGGUGGCCCGUGGGGUAGAGUGAUUCCCCGGAGGGCAGUGACCGCUGCUAAUUUCCAGGAACAAUGUGGACACUCCAGGGCCAGCCGCACACCCGAAAGGACACGCCUGUCAUUUAUCCUGUUCGAGGAGCUCCAGGAUAACCGCUUUGUGGAGAAGGGAAUGUAGGGGACUGGAGUGAGCAAAGAAACCACUUAGGAGGCUCCAGAAGAGGCCAGGGCCAGAAGUUCCUGCCUCCUGAGGUUUCUUGGAAGAUGGCUGAGACGAUACCAAGAUGAGGAGAUGGACCCGUCAAAGGUGUUCUUCAGUAAACAGUGCCUUUGUCUUCAUGCAACCCCACAGGGACAAAGACAGUGUGUGCCUGCGCUUAUUAAGUGCCUACAGUAGGCACGGAUCAAUGGGCCAUAUUAACUAUGCUAUGGUGCCUUAUACAUUUUAUAUUGCAUUUCAUGGCAGUAUCAUUUGCUUUGAUAGAACAAAGUAGAAAAGAUAAAGACCUUCCAAAAUGGACCAUAAAACGCAGACUCUCCCUCUAGCAAAACCCACUGCUGGGUCUUCCAUGGAAUAGCAGGUAAAGAGGCAGCUUGUGCGCGGGGCAAGGGUGCAUGAAGAACUUCUCCUCCUUGAGCUCUGGGACGAACACAGCCUUGGGAACCCCACCCAGAGGAGCACAUGGGGCCCGACAGACAGAUGGUGGGAGGGGUCAGUCACCGUCCUGGGACAGACUGAGUCUCCUUCCCCAUAGGCAUCACACUCUCUCUUCCUCCCAUACAGUUACAUACAGCAUUCGAUUCUCCUUCUCUAAAUAACAAUUCUAGAUGCAGAAUUUCUGGACUUAGAAUUCAGCUUAUCCAGUGGUUUCCACACUCUUUUCUUCCCCUCCAAUAAAAUUAACCCUAAUUGCCAAUAAAGGAAACGUAGGUAUUGAUCAUUCUGGUUAAGGAGCUAAGCUGUGGGGGGUCUUGGGUCCCUACCCACUGUCCCUUCCUCAUCCCCUGAGGCCCACAAAAAUCCCCAGGGGCCUGGGAAACCAGGCGUGAAAACCCUUUAAUAGCUGAGUAAAUGAAGACUCGCAAUCUGUGCCCUCAAAUGCACAUGAAGUUGGUAUUAGGACAUGCUCUUGUUCUCUGAUAGUUUUCUGGGUGCUCAGCUGAUCUCUCUCAUGAGAUUGCAAAGUCAAGGUGGGCUGCGUGUUUUCUCCUCCUCUGGGCUCUGCUGAGCCCUGGUAAAAUGUUUGCAAAUGUUUUCGGUUGUACUGACUGACAUGAAGAGGACCAGAGAACUGGGCCAAUGUCUCUCUUAAAUAGCAACCCCUGUUGUCCCUGCCCAGUGGGCAGAGCAUGCUCAGAGGUCUCCAGGCUUAUCCUGAAGUCCCAGGAAUCUGCAGCUGCCAGAACCCCUCCAAGGAAGGCCAGACAAUGGAGUAUGCUGACCAUGUCAGGUUUGGGCUGUCUGCAGAGCUAGGAUCAGGUCCUUCGGGUAUGGGUACAGAAUCAUGGGGCCAGGUGGAUGCUCUGACUUAAAAGAGUGGGGCUUCAGCGUGGUCCAGGGGUGGGGGACGUAACCCCCACUCGGGCUGCCUGUGAAGGAAGUGGCCCCCAAGCCACCCUGGGCCAAGAGCAGGGAACGAGCAAUGCUGGAGGGAGUACUUACAGAGUCCGGACACCCAGCUCAGCAGGGACUCUCACAUGUCUUAACCAUUCAGCUCCCUUGACAACUUUCAGGCUGAUCACUUUUGUUAUUCCCAGGUACAAACCCAGAAAAUGUUUGUACACGUGAUCUUGCUCAACAGCAACCAAUGAGUAAGUGAGGGAACGUCCACUGGAACCCAGUUUCCAGGACCUUGAAGUUCACACCUUUCCCACGGUGCCUAUCACGUGGCCAGCAGAGAGAGGCAGAGCAGUGUGAGGUCAGGGGUGAGGGGGAGGCAUAAAGGGACCUUUAAAGGUGGCUUUGGAGUCUAAACUCGCCCCCUGAACCACACACAUGACUUUUGUCUUUGUCUGUCCAUACAGGGCAGGAAGCCAUUCCCAAGCCCCACGGAGCACCCCUGAUGUCCAAAGAGUCUGAGGAAUGUUCUCAGGACCAAGCCCUCAUGGUGGCUGAGCAAGCCCGGCUGCCUUAGAAAACCUGUUUCCUACUGGAUAUGCAGAUAGAAGAACAAGCAGGAACCUAACUAGAAACGCCAAACGGCGUUUCCCCGGAGCAGGUGCUCCUGGUCUCCCGCAGGCAGCACAGUGAGUGAAUUCCUCCUCUGGAGUCCAGUUUACCCUACUGUGUUUCAGGCCCAUCACCUGUUUGUCCAAACUGUAUCUAUUCACUCCCCUUACUCAUUAGAAGCUGCCAGAAGCUGAGAGUAAGCUCUGCUGCUCGGUCAACACUGGCCCUCCAGGACAGCCGGGGUCUCGGAUGGAUGCUCAUGGGGGCAGUGUACGCACCUGGAGCAUGCUAGCUCUGGGUCUGCUGGUUCCUUUCUGGAAGGCCUUUCUGGGAGAGUGAAUCUGACUUCCAUUUGUUCUCUGGCCUCCAGGGCAGCCGGCGUGUGUGCGAAUGUGCUCCCAGGCGUGUGCUAUGCCGAGGAGUUGUGGAGGCUUGGCCCUCGCCAUCCCCGAGGGUCCCCAGGGGUUCAGACUGUGGAUCCCUCAAAGCAACAGGUGGUCUACAAUCAGUCCAUCUGUCCUAUGGACACUGGCCCUUCAAGCUGUUCAGCUGCCCCUUGCCACCUGCCCAGCCUCAGGACAGCCACCUCCUGAGACUACCCUGCUGCUUGGAGAGUACUGAGCUCCCUGUCUUGGAA